GUUGUUUUGGCAGAUUAGUGCAAUUGAUUUAGGAUUUUUAUAUGUAAUUUAUUUACAAAUAACA
rnacentral:tRNA from 1 species